rnacentral:rRNA from 1 species
GAUGAACGCUGGCGGCGUGCCUAAUACAUGCAAGUCGGGCGAACGGACGAGAAGCUUGCUUCUCUGAUGUUAGCGGCGGACGGGUGAGUAACACGUGGAUAACCUACCUAUAAGACUGGGAUAACUUCGGGAAACCGGAGCUAAUACCGGAUAAUACUUUGAACCGCAUGGUUCAAAAGUGAAAGACGGUCGUGCGGUCACUUAUAGAUGGAUCCGCGCUGCAUUAGCUAGUUGGUAAGGUAACGGCUUACCAAGGCAACGAUGCAUAGCCGACCUGAGAGGGUGAUCGGCCACACUGGAACUUGGACACCCUCCAUACUCCUACGGGAGGCAGCAGUAGGGUAUCUUCCGCAAUGGGCGAAAGCCUGGCGGAGCAACGCCGCGUGAGUGAUGAAGGUCUUCGGAUCGUAAAACUCUCUUAUUAGUGAUGAACAUAUGUGUAAGUAACUGUGCACAUCUUGACGGUACCUAGUCAGAAAGCCCCGGCUAACUACGUG